GCAUUAAUGGGGUAGUGGUAACCUGGGUCGUUGCCAUGUAGAUAUGUGACCUUUGAUCGACCCGCCGGGGGUUCAAUUCCCUCUUAAUGCA
rnacentral:tRNA from 1 species